rnacentral:rRNA from 1 species
GGGCUUUUUCUAGUACGAAAGGACCGAAAAAGCAUGGCCUAUAACCCAUCAAGCCAUAUAAAUUACUAUUGUUCCCAACUUAAAUAGAAGUAAACCUACCACUUAUCUCGAUAAAAGAGAAGUUAACGUAGCAUAACCUGGCCUUGCAGAAGAUCUAAGCCCUUUUAAUAGAGGUUCAAAUCCUCUCGUUAACUUUGAACCUAACACCCCUCAUUCUCCCACUUUGUUUUAUUGUUCCUAUUUUACUCGCUGUUGCAUUCUUAACCCUUAUUGAACGAAAAACUCUUGGCUACAUACAACACCGCAAAGGACCUAAUAUUGUUGGCCCCACAGGACUCUUACAACCAAUCGCUGACGGUAUUAAACUAUUUAUUAAAGAACCAAUUCGUCCAGCCACUUCGUCACAAACUCUUUUUCUUUUAGCACCUACCCUUGCCCUAAGUCUAGCUAUAAUUAUCUGAACCCCCCUUCCUAUGCCUACCUCCUUUUCUGACAUAAACCUGGGCAUUAUAUUUAUCCUAGCUCUAUCAAGCCUCACAGUCUACACCAUUUUAGGUUCUGGAUGAGCCUCAAACUCCAAGUACGCACUUAUUGGCGCCCUACGGGCAGUUGCACAAACUAUCUCUUAUGAGGUCACCCUUGCUUUAAUUUUGCUCUGCACAAUUUUAUUAUCGGGUAAUUUCACCUUACAAAACUUUAAUAUUUCACAGGAGUCUAUUUGAUUUUUUAUCCCAAUAUGACCACUAGCCAUAAUAUGGUACAUUUCAACACUAGCCGAAACCAACCGAGCACCAUUUGACUUAACAGAGGGGGAGUCAGAACUCGUCUCUGGGUUUAAUGUAGAAUAUGCAGGGGGACCAUUUGCACUUUUCUUCCUAGCAGAAUACGCCAAUAUUCUAAUGAUAAACACCAUCUCAGCCAUUAUCUUUUUUGGCUCUUCUACUCUAAUCUUUUCCCUCUAUACAACAAUACUUUUAAUAUUUAAAGCCGCCCUACUAUCCAUGUUAUUCUUAUGAGUUCGAGCCUCCUACCCACGAUUUCGCUAUGACCAACUCAUACACCUAGUUUGAAAAAACUUUCUUCCCCUAACUCUCGCCCUAACCAUCUGAUUUAUUGCCCUCCCAAUUACUAUUCUACUUACCCCCCCCAUUACAUGGAAGCAUGCCUGAAAGAUAAGGACCUCCUUGAUAGGGAGGACAAUAGGGGUUCAAACCCCCUUACUUCCUUAGAAAAGUAGGAAUUGAACCUACAACUAAGAGAUCAAAGCCCUCCGUAAUCCAU